UACGAAGGGGGCUAGCGUUGUUCGGAAUUACUGGGCGUAAAGCGCGCGCAGGCGGUUCUCCAAGUCAGUGGUGAAAGCCCGGAGCUCAACUCCGGAACUGCCAUUGAAACUGUUGAACUUGAGGACGAGAGAGGUGAGUGGAAUUCCCAGUGUAGAGGUGAAAUUCGUAGAUAUUGGGAAGAACACCGGUGGCGAAGGCGGCUAUCUGGACCGUAACUGACGCUGAGGCGCGAAAGCGUGGGGAGCAAACAGG
rnacentral:rRNA from 1 species